UCUCCUAGUGUGACGCAACGCCAGUGAUUGCUAAUUGAGGCUACAUUUGCUCAAGGUGAUUGUAUAAUUACACCCAAGUUCAGGUUCCUGAUUCAGCACAGUCCUGGCGCACUCGCUGACGGCAUGGAAGGAUAGAGGAGAGGGACCGCAGAACAUGUCACAGACUGAAGAUGCUGCGAGCAUAGCUUUUCACUUGAUUCAGGCUUGAAGUGUUCGCCUGAAUACUCAAAACACCAUCUAUUUUUGGAAAGGGAUUAAUGAAGACAUUUAUUUCAAAAAACAUUUUUUUUUGUUGUUGUUCCCUCUCAUUUGGGACCGAGUUUUCCAUAUCCUCUGACAGCUUGUCAAUGGGAAGGCAUUCAUCCCUGCUUUAUCUGUCUGCUCAAUAUGAAUGCAGUGCGGAGACAGAGGAAACACAUUUAGGGCUGAUUAAUGUAAAAAAUACCCUUUGAUGAGCAGUUCAAUGCAAGAUAACUCCGAAUUUUCAAAUUCAAUAUAUUGGAUCUUCUGACUACCACAUUUUUCAUAUUUGCUGAAGGACUUUUUUCCUACAGUUCUACUUUGGAACAUGCAGCUCAGUGGGAAGAUUGAAGCAGUAGCCCCCUCCUUGGGUCACUGAAAUCCUGGAAAAAAAUAUAGGAGAAACAGAGGAAACACGUGAUGACUCUCGAGGGACUAUCCAUGCUUUCUGCUCACGUUGGCUUGGCCAAAGCCAGUCACAUGGUCAAGCCUGAUGUCAUCAGUGUAAGAAGGUUUGAUCUUCCAGCGGGACAAGGCGCCUCCCUGCAGUUCUUGCUGAUGACCAUCUAGUGCCAACUACUCCAUCGCUCUCCAAGGAGCGCAAAGGGAAGUCGACCAGUACGUUCACGAACCCACCUUGUCCUUACUUCAGCAAAUGGUAAAACUACUCUGACUUUGUCUGAGAACCGAAGCCCCAAAC